rnacentral:rRNA from 1 species
UACGUAGGAGGCGAGCGUUGUCCGGAAUUACUGGGCGUAAAGAGCGCGUAGUGGCGCGAUACGACCGGUGUGAAAUCCUCCGGCUCAACUGGAGGGGGUCACUGGUAACGGUCGCGCUGAUGAGUGCAGGAGAGGGACGUGGAACUCCGGGAGUAGCGGUGAAAAUGCGUAGAGACCCGGAGGAACACCAGUGGCGAAGGCGGCGUCCUGGCCUGCGACUGACGUGUGGCGCGAAA